rnacentral:rRNA from 1 species
UACGGAGGGUGCAAGCGUUAUCCGGAAUCACUGGGUUUAAAGGGUGCGUAGGCGGCCAUGUAAGUCAGAGGUGAAAGGCUACAGCUUAACUGUGGAAUUGCCUUUGAUACUGUGUGGCUUGAAUAAGGAUGAGGUUGGCGGAAUGUGGCAUGUAGCGGUGAAAUGCAUAGAUAUGCCAUAGAACACCAAUUGCGAAGGCAGCUGACUGGACCUUUAUUGACGCUGAGGCACGAAAGCGUGGGGAUCAAACAGG